UACGUAGGGACCAAGCGUUGUUCGGAUUUACUGGGCGUAAAGCGUGCGCAGGCGGUUCGUCGUGUCCGAUGUGAAAGCCCCGGGCUCAACCUGGGAAUGGCAUUGGAAACUGGCGGACUAGAGUGUGGCAGAGGGGGGUGGAAUUCCGCGUGUAGCAGUGAAAUGCGUAGAGAUGCGGAGGAACACCGAUGGCGAAGGCAGCCCCCUGGGCUAACACUGACGCUCAGGCACGAAAGCGUGGGGAGCAAACAGG
rnacentral:rRNA from 1 species